rnacentral:lncRNA from 1 species
AAAAAGCUCCUCUCUCUCAUUUCAUUUUUCAUCACCUUCACCUUCCAUCUUCUUCACUCUCAUUCCAUUUUUUCAUCACCUUCACCUUCCAUCUUCUUCACUUUGAUUCAAUUUUUCCAUCACCUUCGAAUUCUUAUUCUCAACCGAACUCCAAUCCCUCAAUCCUUCAAACAAUCUGCAACAACAGAACCUCUUCACUCUCCGCCCUCACCAACGCGUAAUCGAAUCGCUAACCGCGUCGCAACCUUCACCUUCACCUUCACAAUCCUUCAACAACCUAACUCCAUUCUUCAACAACCAAACUCCGAUCCUUCAAUCACUAUAUAAAACCGUACAGUUCUCAACAAAAGGAGAGGAAAAAAACUCCACAACCAUCUUCCAAAAUGCUCGAUAACAGAAAGAAUUCAAAGAAGAAGAAAACGAAUUGUAACAGAAGGAGAAGAAGAGGAGCGCAAAGUGAAGAAGAUUGGAACAGAGAGACUCACUGAUCUUGGAGAAGGCCUCAUCUCUGAUCUGUUGCGCAAUUCCGCUUUCAAUCAUUAUUACCACACAACGACUCGAGCCGAACUUUAUCCUUCAACGUAACUUCAUCACACAUUGACAAUCGAUUUGUUCUCUUCUUUCUCAAUCAACAUACGGCGACUAUUCAUUAUCGCAACACUACUUCGCCGCCACGACGAACAACCGCGCGGCGGUUCGUCCGCUAUUAACCACAACGUCGCGUCCGCACACGGGAUCCAAGCGAAGCUCUCUUCAUCCCGAUCCACCAAGAACAGAAAAUCGUAUCGCCGAGGUGAGUUUUGUAUUCUCCUUUUUCCGUUGGUUACGCGGUUGUUCGUACGGGAUAAUCAGAAGCCAGGUUAAGGCUUGCGCAAGAUUGAGGGAGAAAUUGUUGAGCUGAGUUUUUCAGGUUACGCACAUGGCCA